rnacentral:rRNA from 1 species
UACAGAGGGGGCAAGCGUUAUUCGGAAUUAUUGGGCGUAAAGGGCGCGUAGGCGGCUAUUCAAGUGGCGGGUGAAAUCCCUCGGCUUAACCGAGGAACUGCGUGUGAGACUGGAUGGCUUGAGUUUGGGAGAGGAAUGCGGAAUUCCAGGUGUAGCGGUGAAAUGCGUAGAUAUCUGGAGGAACACCGGUGGCGAAGGCGGCAUUCUGGACCAACACUGACGCUGAGGAGCGAAAGCCAGGGGAGCAAACGGG